CCAUCAGCAACCCACAUCAAAAACAAUAAGAAGAAGAAGAAGAAAAUGAUAGCUGUGGCAGUCAUGGCGGAGCUUUUAGAAGAAUACAUGUUGGCUCUGGCGAGAUUUACAGAGCGGAGAAGAAGCGUUUAUAGGUUUAAUGGGCUAAGGAAUUUUCGUUUGGGUUCUUCGUCUUCCAUCUUCACCGAAGACUCCUCUUCUUUCAUUGUUUAUUUCUGAUGAUCAUAAUGCCUCCAAACGCCAUCCUUUUCUUGAUUUCUUCUUUCCCAUAUUUUAUUUUUCGCAUUAAUUAGUUCUUUAUAUUUUUUGUUCUUGCUUAAUGAAGUUUAUUUCUCAAUAUUUUUUUUUA
rnacentral:misc_RNA from 1 species